GUCCAGCUCCCGAGACCCGGUCAAAGCAGGGACAGGAUCUCUUCCCCACCCACCCAAAUGACGCCCUCGGUCUGUUUCCGCUGGGAUCCGGAGAAGCUGACCCUCUCACCGGGGGGUCUUCCCGGGGCGCCUAGGCCAGGGCGGGCCCCCAGCGUCGUCCUCUCCCACCCCCCCACUCCCCUGCCCACACAUUCUGGAUCAAAGCAGACAUGCGGCCGGCGCUCUGCGAUCCAAGGCACACUGGGGUCUUUCAUCCGGUGUUUUUAAAAAGGAGGAAACAAAAGGCUCAGAGGCAGGGCCCCAGGUGCGCUCGCCCGCGGGGGCUGCGGCGCGGACGACCGAAGAAAACCACGACUUCCUGGAAAAGUCUUCACCGUAAAUAUUAAUCUCUUUGGCAUGAAGAGGAAAACACUGCAGCUAAUUUUUCAUGGGAUAACAAAAAUAUAAACUGCAAUUUCUUUUAUUUUUUCCCUUUCGAUGGUCUUUUUAAACGAGGAGUAAAGAUUUCAACGCCAGGUCCAUUUUCCAAAUUUUGUACCAGAACCUUGAGGAUGCUUGUCUCUCGCGCGCUUCUCCGCAGACCGAACCCUCUCCGGAACUCAGAGCUGUUCACCCAAGUCAGCGGAGGAGGCCUCCUGGGACUUGAGCCUGAGGGUGGCGAAGAACCCUAGGCAGAGAUCAUCAACUUGGUACCGAUGAGUGACGCGGAGCUUGAACAUUCCAGCGACUUGCUCCAGGGCCACUCCCAGUUAAGAGGCUGAGUGUUAACUGCAAGAGGCUGAGUGUUAACUACGCCGUUGGCUCCAGGAACCGAACCGGGUUUGGAUACAGACCCAGUCACACCAUCCAUGAAAAGCUGUUUCUAUAAUAUGAAAAAUUGUUAAAUGACGCUUUAGUAAAAGCCAUUUAAAGAUCUUUUCUAAUAAAUUUUUCAUCUUUCCAAACAA
rnacentral:lncRNA from 1 species